UGGGGAAUAUUGCACAAUGGGCGAAAGCCUGAUCCAGCAAUGCCGCGUGUGUGAAGAAGGCCUUCGGGUUGUAAAGCACUUUUGUCCGGAAAGAAAUCCUUGGCUCUAAUACAGUCGGGGGAUGACGGUACCGGAAGAAUAAGCACCGGCUAACUACGUGCCAGCAGCCGCGGUAAUACGUAGGGUGCAAGCGUUAAUCGGAAUUACUGGGCGUAAAGCGUGCGCAGGCGGUUUGCUAAGACCGAUGUGAAAUCCCCGGGCUCAACCUGGGAACUGCAUUGGUGACUGGCAGGCUAGAGUAUGGCAGAGGGGGGUAGAAUUCCACGUGUAGCAGUGAAAUGCGUAGAGAUGUGGAGGAAUACCGAUGGCGAAGGCAGCCCCCUGGGCCAAUACUGACGCUCAUGCACGAAAAGCGUGGGGAGCAAAACAGGAUUAGAUACCCUGGUAGUCCACGCCCUAAAACGAUGUCAACUAGUUGUUGGGGAUUCAUUUCCUUAGUAACGUAGCUAACGCGUGAAGUUGACCGCCUGGGGAGUACGGUCGCAAGAUUAAAAACUCAAAUGAAUUGACGGGGUCAUAGCUGUUUCCU
rnacentral:rRNA from 1 species